AAAUUGAAGAGUUUGAUCAUGGCUCAGAUUGAACGCUGGCGGCAGGCCUAACACAUGCAAGUCGAACGGUAACAGGAAGCAGCUUGCUGCUUCGCUGACGAGUGGCGGACGGGUGAGUAAUGUCU
rnacentral:rRNA from 4 species